CAACAAAAACGUAAAACAUUCUUCCUCUUCUUCUUCGAACCCAGUAAACCCUUCCUUAGAACCAUUAUUCUUCUUCAUCGCAACAAUCUUCUUCUUCUUCAAUGCAAACAAUCUUCUUUUUUUCACUGCAAUCAAUCGAAUUCUUUAUUGCACCUUCAUCACCUUCUAAACUAUCUCACGCGAAAUUCAACUUCUCUCUCACUCGAUUCAAUCGUUCAACACGAUCUCGAAUUCCCUCUCAAUCUCUCACAAUUGAACUCGUCCUCUCUCUCUCACUCGAAAUUUAACCAUCUCUCACGCUGAAACCCUAAGAUGCUCAAGCGAAAUUGAACAAUCUCUCACUCGAACUCGUCCUCUCUCUCUCACACUCGUUCUCUCGAACUCCUCAUCUCAGAUUCGCUCAAACUUCAUCGUCUUCUUCAGGUUCUCCAGAUUCGUUCAAGCUUCAGGUUCAACAUUCACUAAACUUGUGUUUUUUAACAUGAUUAAUGUUUGAGUUAAUUUGAUUUUGGAUUAAAAUUUGAAUGAGAAGUUAUUUUGUAGUUUGAGCCAAUUAGGAUUAGGAUUUUGAUUUUGUAGUUUGACCUAAUUAGGAUUUUGUUGUUUUAGGUUAUUUAAUGAACUUGUUGAUAUUUUGCUAUUAAGACACAAUCCUUGCCAAUCCUUGUUGAUAUUUUGUGAUUUGAUUUAAAAUGGUUCAAAUUUGGUUUUGGUGUUGGUUUUGUUCAUUUGGGUAUGUAUGUUUUUUCUCAGUAUUUGUAAAUGUUUGUGAUUUGGUAAAAUUGGAUUGUUUUAUGAUUUGUGACAAAGAUGUUUUGGUUGGUAUAAGUGCUUUUGCUUGAUUUCUACUUCUUUGUCUGCUCUCAAAAGGUGAGAAAGUGUUAUUUUAGAUUCUUUUUAUUUACUAGAUUCUUAAUAAAACAGUGUUCCUCUAUUUCUGUUUGGAUCCUUGAAACUAGUGGCAUAUACUUUCCCUUUUUUCCACAAUCUUAUUGACUUACCUUGUUUUUCAAAACCUCAUUUUCUAUUAAACCAUAUAGAAUAUUUGACAUAAUGUUGACUUACCUUGUUUCAUGCUUUCUAAUGCUGUGAUUUGUUAUGGUUUAGGCUCUAUAAACUUGAUUUGUUUUGUGGUUUUGGCCUUGAUUCAAAGUUUAUGUUGUUUGAUUAAUUUUUCAGGCAAGGAAAGCUCUUAGUGCAUUGAAAGGAUUGAUUAAUUUUUUGGAUAUUUUGCUAUUAGGAUUUUGUAGUUUGACCUGAUAGUACUUUACAUACUUUGUUUGUUUCUUCAAUGCAUAAGUUGUUUUGAUCAAUUUAAAUUUGAAUUAUUGUUUUGUUUUAUAGUAUUAUAGUAAGUGAAGAUGAUGUUCGUUCCAUCUAUGUCAAGGCAUAAUAUUAUCCAUGUCUGCAUGGAAUGAACCUACAAUCAAUGUAAGUUGGGAUAAUCUUUGUCAUAGAGGAGGUCUAGUCCGGGUGAUUGUAUGUUACGUUGAGGCUAUGUUCAUUCAGCGGUGUUGUUCUUCUUUUUAUGUUUGUUUGUGCUGCUCUAGUGCUUGUUGCGUGUGUAUGAUAUUUUUCCUUGUGAUGUUAGUUAUCUCUUAGUUGCAAUUUCCUCUGUUUUGGGUGUUUAUGGUUGCCUCCUGUUAUAUUUAGGGAGUGGGGAUAUGUACUGACUUUGGUUUCUAUCCUUGUAUCUUUACUUGGCCGUUAUGUACUUCUUGUACAUUUUUGUGCCUAUCAUUAAUAUAUUAUUUGCAGUUCAAAAAAAAAAGUAGAGUACAUGAACUAACUAUAUUCUGAAUAAGAACACAUAUUACUUUUAUGCUAUUUUAUAUUAUUACUUAAUAUUUGUAGGACUAGUUGCAACAAACAGAAGUGAAUUGUGCGUAUUUGAAUAGAUGUUGUGAGAUACUGACUAGUAAAUUAAUUCAAAACAGUGCCUAUUUGGUCUCUUACUAGUAAAUUAGUUCAAGACUAGUAAUAUCACGUUGUAUGUUACCAAUGUGUAUAGUUACUUACUUUCAUGUUCUAGGGAUUCUAUUUUGCUCAUAUUGGGUUUUUACUAUUGUGGCUAUCAUACAUAACCUAUUAUGCUUAUUAGUUUUAAAGUUUUGUUUUGAAGUUGCAUGUGUAGGAUAUCCCUUUAUAUCUUUUCUUUAAUUAUUGGUUCUGUUUUUCUUUUUCUUAUUGUAAAUGGUGUUCCUCUUUUGACAGAUUAUUUCAAGGAUUUAUGCAAAGUGAGUGUGUGGAAGAGUGAAGCAACCAAGCAGGUAUUGGNNNUCAUGUUUAUCUUUUUCUUUUGCCUAUUUCUUUUAAUUAUUUGGUUGCAUGACUUAAUUAUUGGUUAUUGCACAAGCCACAAUAGAGAAGAAGAAAGUGCAUUUUUCUAUCCUUAUCAUCAUUAUUGUUUACCUUGAUAAUUUUUUAAAGGAAUGACAUGUUAUAUUUCCUUAAAAUGUCAGCUUCAUUUUGUGUGUUUAUUGACAGGCCUUAAGUGUUAGCUUCUAACUAUCAUAAUUGUGACCUUCAUGGUAUUAGUUUAAAAUUAGAUGAUUAUAUAUUGUAGAAGUUUAUUCAUGGAUAUAUGGUUGGAUUUGCAGACUUAGGUUAGUUCAAUUGAGGCUUCUCAACAAUAACUAUAAUAAUUGCCAGGAAGUUUGGAAUACCGUGUUACGGAGGAAAGUUUGAUGGAUCGCGUAGGUACAAAUAUGCAUGAAGCAUGCCUGCAGAUUGACAAAGAAUGCAGGUUAGUGGAAAAGCUGUUUGAUCUCUCCUGCUGCAGCCUUUUGUUUAUAGUUUCAUUUCUUUAUUCAUCAAGUUAUUGAACAUCAAUGUGGAUGUUAGAGUUUCACAAAAGUAUUUGUAAAACUGAAGCAAUCAAAAGCAUGAUAUCUCUCUUUUAUUCAUCAGGUUCUUUAGGAAGUNN
rnacentral:lncRNA from 1 species